AUUGAACGCUGGCGGCAGGCCUAACACAUGCAAGUCGAACGAGUGGCGGACGGGUUAGUAAUGUCUGGGAAACUGCCUGAUGGCGGGGGAUAACUACUGGAAACGGUAGCUAAUACCGCAUACCAUCGGAUGUGCCCAGAUGGGAUUAGCUAGUAGUUGGGGUAAAGGCGUACCUAGGCGACGAUCCCUAGCUGGUCUGAGAGGAUGACCAGGCACACGGGAACUGAGACACGUUCCAGACUCCUACGGGAGGCAGCAGUGGGGAAUAUUGCACAAUGGGCGAAAGCCUGAUGCAGCCAUGCCGCGUGUAUUAAGAAGGCCUUCGGGUUGUAAAGUACUUUAAGCGGGGAGGCGUUACCAGCAGAAGAAGCACCGGCUAACUCCGUGCCAGCAGCCGCGGUAAUAC
rnacentral:rRNA from 1 species